GACGAACCGUGCAAACGUUGUUCGGAAUCACUGGGCUUAAAGGGCGCGUAGGCGGGUGUGUAAGUCUGCGGUGAAAUCCUCCAGCUUAACUGGAGAAGUGCCGUGGAUACUGCUCAUCUUGGGGAGGGUAGGGGCAUCUGGAACGGUCGGUGGAGCGGUGAAAUGCGUUGAUAUCGACCGGAACUCCGGUGGCGAAGGCGAGGUGCUGGACCCUUUCUGACGCUGAGGCGCGAAAGCCAGGGGAGCAAACGGGAUUAGAUACCCCGGUAGUCCUGGCCCUAAACGUUGAGAACUAGGUAGUGGACUGAACAUGGGUUCACUGCCGGAGCAAAAGUGCUAAGUUCUCCGCCUGGGGAGUAUGGUCGCAAGGCUGAA
rnacentral:rRNA from 1 species